GUGAGUUAUGACACAUGUGAAAAGCACCAGUUAAAAACAAACGAACUUAAUGACCAUUCAUCUCCCUCCACUCAUCUCUCUCUCUCUCAUAACUGUCUCCACCGCACCAGAGGCUCUCUCGGCGGCGGAGACAUCACGAAAUCUCAAACCGAAACCAUCAUUCUACUCUAUUUUGUGCCCUAAUACAUGGCCAUGAAACACUCUAAAAAUUAUUGAAUCGGUCCAAUCGAAAAUGUUAAGUCAAGAACCCUAACAUGUCAAAGUCAAAUUAAAUGGUAAAAUAGGGAUUCUCUCACAAACCAUGGGAUUAAUGAUACCAAGAAGAUCUAUUACACAUUGGUGAUUGAUUUUGAGGCAAACAGAGAAGGAAAUAUUUACCUCCGAAACGGAGAACUAUUUCGGUGAAUGUUGAUCGGAGAAGACGAAAUAUAGAAUAAAAUCACCUAAAAAACAGGAUUUUUGCUUGGUCAUGCAUAUUUGGAACUGUUGCUCAAUCUGUUAGCUCUACAGGAUGAUGAGUAAUGCAAGAUUCUAUAUUGAUGUGUUUGAAUGCGGGUGCAUUGGCUUCUGUCAUGGCUGUUGCAGGAUCUACACGAGCGAUUAUGCAGGAUUAUUGGAUUUGUUUUGAAACAUCGAAUGGUCAUAAAAUGUAUGUAAUGGAAACGUUUCAGGUGGUUUAGAAUUGGCUUGUGGGGUUUAAAAACUGUGUAUUGAUUUGUAAUUUUCUUGAACAUUGUAAUCAAUGGUUUAUUAAUGAAAUUGUUUAGUUUAUGUAA